rnacentral:lncRNA from 1 species
UCAGAAAGCAUCACAGUGAGUGUCGUCUUAGGACACGUUCCUUUCAGUUAAACUCGUGUCUGGGUCACGUAGGGCUUCACGCAGGUGUAUGUGUACCUGAGCAGGUAAGCUGUAUCUGUCCUGGGUUAGUGUCCUUAAUUCCUAGGCCACUGCUUUGUCAUAUCCUUUCUGAGCUCACACUCGCUUUGAAUUUGGUACUUGUUCUUCUGUAAGGUCUGAUGCAAAGACCAGUCCUGUCCCCAUUUAGGAGUUCUUUCAUCCGUGAGUGUCUGAGUGGCCACUGUAAGCCAUGUUGGUGGAGGACCUGGGAACCCAGCUCUCCCGUGUAAUCACAUGUGGCCUCGCCACCCACAGCCCCGACUGAGGGUGGGAGGCAGCAGGUCAUACCCCCACUCAGCAGAGCGGGGACUACUCAGGGGGCCCAGGCCUCUGGAGUCACCGCUUCCUGUGACGGUACUUAUCCUGGGCUUCUUUAGCAAGGGGCUGGGCAUGGGCCCGAGGAGGAGACAUCGUCUGUGGAGAAGCCAAGCAGAGCCUUGCCCAGGAAGUCCAGAGACCCCCUGCUGUCCCAGCGGAUCUCAUCUCUCACAGCCUCGCUGCAUGCACAUAGUCGCAAAAAGGUCAAGAGGAAACACCCCCGCCGGGCCCAGGAGUCCACCAAGAAGCCCCCGAGCGCCACUCGUACCAGCAAGACCCAGCGUCGCCGGCUGACAGGCAAAGCCCGGCACAGUGGGGAGUGAGACCGGCCAGCAGGCCAUGCCCGCCUGGGCUGCACAGACCAGCAUCUCAGCUUGGCUGUCCUCUAACCCAGCUUGCGCCCAGGCGAUGGCUCCACUGCCCAGGCUUAGGAGGCCAGCACCUCUCCGGCCUGGGGCUUGGGCUCCAGAAGGCGCAGGCAGCUGAGAGCUGGCCUCCCCCGCCAGGAGCCUCCAGGGCCAUUUGGGACGUCUUCCCAGGUGUACACCCCAUGGUCCCUUCAACAGACUCGUGAAGCUAAGCACACUGUGGUUGGUUGGUCCCUGGCCCUGGUGCCACACACCAAGGGCAGGCGUUGGGGGUAGUGGAACCCACUGGGGGCGUGGGUCAUGCUCACUCUGCAGCAGCUUCCCCUGGGGCUGCGGGAAGGCGCUGCCGGGGCCAGGCUCCUGACCAGGGCAGAAGGCCAGCACCACCCCCGGUAGCGGAAUCCAGAGUCCACCCUCUGCUCUGGAACAUGGGCUGGUGGGUGAGCAGGCGGCCUCAGGCUUCGCCUGGCCGAGACUCUGGGCCUGUCCUUUCUUGGCCUUGUUGGUCUCAGCUGAUCUGAAGGGGCGGAGGUAAGCGAGUCCUGUGGUGUUCCUCACCCCAGGCUUCCAGCAGCUCCCAGGCAGAGCCCAGCCAAGAAGGAACCAUUAGUCCUUUGUCGAGAAAAUAUACCUCAACUCGCCAGAAAGCUUGGCCCUCUUGGAGCAGGCCCCCCGGGAGGCCGCCGGUGUCCUGUGAGGGCUCCCGAUUCUUCACGCUUCUCCCACAUGGACCUUCAGGUGCGGCUUCAGAGCCGAUGAAAACCAGCCUUGCUCCUUCCACGUCCCGCGUGCAGGUGACCACCUCGCUCACACGCCC